AAGUUGUGGUGAGGACAGUCUCUCUCAUAGUCUUUAAAUCGCUCCCAAGCGUCAUAGAAUGAUUCUUUGGCUCCUUGUUGAAAUCCCAAAGUAGUCCGAAAUU